UGUGCAAACGUUAUUCGGAAUCACUGGGCUUAAAGGGUGCGUAGGCGGCUUGUUAAGUAGGGUGUGAAAUCCCCCGGCUCAACCGGGGAAUUGCGCCCUAAACUGGCGAGCUGGAGUGAGAUAGGGGUGUGUGGAACUUCCAGUGGAGCGGUGAAAUGUGUUGAUAUUGGAAGGAACGCCAGUGGCGAAAGCGACACACUGGGUCUCAACUGACGCUGAGGCACGAAAGCCAGGGGAGCAAACGGG
rnacentral:rRNA from 1 species